rnacentral:lncRNA from 1 species
AGAAUAAUAUUUAAAUAAAAGAAAUACAAAUUGUUAUAUGGUUUGAAUAAGAGCAAAAUUAACCCAAACUUGGUCCACCUCUGAUUUAAUUAGAUCGACAUUUAUGGCCCUAAGAGAUGAGGGAUCUUCCUUUUCUCUCUUACCUGCUGUCCCCAACAAAAUACACAAAUACUUUCUUUUCAGACGAACAUGAUGAAUACACCAGUCAUUUCCUUCUUGUACUUGUGAACAGAAUAAUAUUUAAAUAAAAGAAAUACAAAUUGUUAUAUGGUUUGAAUAAGAGCAAAAUUAACCCAAACUUGGUCCACCUCUGAUUUAAUUAGAUCGACAUUUAUGGCCCUAAGAGAUGAGGGAUCUUCCCUUUCUCUCUUACCUGCUGUCCCCAACAAAAUACACAAAUACUUUCUUUUCAGACGAACAUGAUGAAUACACCAGUCAUUUCCUUCACACUGUAUAAAACCAAC